rnacentral:rRNA from 1 species
AGCAGCCGCGGUAAUUCCAGCUCCAAUAGCGUAUAUUAAAGUUGUUGCAGUUAAAAAGCUCGUAGUUGAAUUUCGGGAUCAAUACGUCGGUCGUGCUUAGGUACGUACUGGCGUAAUUGAUUUCUCCCUUCUGACGAACCAUGAUGUCAUUAACUUGGUGUCAUGGGAAAUCAGGACUGUUACUUUGAAAAAAUUAGAGUGUUUAAAGCAGGCUCACGCUUGAAUACAUUAGCAUGGAAUAAUGAAAUAGGACGUUCGAUCCUAUUUUGUUGGUUUUAGGAUCAACGUAAUGAUUAAUAGGGAUAGUUGGGGGCAUUAGUAUUCAAUUGUCAGAGGUGAAAUUCUUGGAUUUAUUGAAGACUAACUACUGCGAAAGCAUUUGCCAAGGAUGUUUUCAUUAAUCAAGAACGAAAGUUAGGGGAUCGAAGACGAUCAGAUACCGUCGUAGUCUUAACCAUAAACUAUGCCGACUAGGGAUCGGAUGAUGUUAAUUUUUAAUGA